UACGGAGGGAGCUAGCGUUGUUCGGAAUUACUGGGCGUAAAGCGCACGUAGGCGGCUUUGUAAGUUAGAGGUGAAAGCCCGGAGCUCAACUCCGGAACUGCCUUUAAGACUGCAUCGCUUGAAUCCAGGAGAGGUGAGUGGAAUUCCGAGUGUAGAGGUGAAAUUCGUAGAUAUUCGGAAGAACACCAGUGGCGAAGGCGGCUCACUGGACUGGUAUGACGCUGAGGCGCGAAAGCGUGGGGAGCGAACAGGG
rnacentral:rRNA from 1 species